AUGGCUACGGCGUCAGUGGCUUUCAAGUCGAGGGAGGACCAUAGGAAGCAAAUUGAAUCGGAGGAAGCGCGUAAAGCUGGGCUAGCACCAGCUGAAGUUGAUGAAGAUGGGAAGGAGAUCAAUCCUCAUAUUCCGCAGUUUAUGUCAUCUGCUCCUUGGUAUCUCAAUGCUGAGAAGCCGAGCUUGAAACAUCAAAGGAAGUGGAAACCAGAUCCUUUUACAAAAUCUUGGUAUGACAGAGGUGCAAAGAUAUUUUUGGCUGAUAAGUACGGACAGGGGCUUGUGAAAACUGUGGGGCCAUGACACAUAAUGUAAAGUCCUGCAUGGAGUGGCCUAGAAAGAAAGGAGCAAAAUGGAUUAGCAUGCACAUUGCGCCUGAUGAAAAGAUACAGAUUUUUAAGCUAGAUUAUGAUGGCAAAAGGGAUAGAUGGAAUGGGUUUGAUGCAUCAACUUAUGCUCCUGUCAUUGAGAGAUACGAAGCAAGGGAUGAGGCAAGAAGGAAAUUCCUAAAAGAGCAGCAGCUGAAAAGGUUAGAGGAGAAAAAUAGUAAGCAAAGUGGAGAGGGGGAGGUCAUUGAUGAUGAUGAAUAUGAAGAUGUUCUGAAGGUCGAUGAGGCCAAGGUUGAUGAAAGCAAACAAAUGGAUUUUGCAAAGGUUGAGAAGCGUGUUCGCACAACCAGUGGUGGAAGCACAGGAACUGUCAGAAAUUUGCGUAUUCGGGAGGACACAGCCAAGUAUCUUUUGAACCUUGAUGUCAACUCUGCUUAUUAUGAUCCCAAAACUCGGUCCAUGCGUGAAGAUCCUCUUCCUGAUGCUGACCCGAAUGAGAAGUUUUAUGCAGGAGAUAACAGAUACAGAGCGAGUGGGCAAGCUUUAGAGUUCAAGCAGCUCAAUAUUCAUGCAUGGGAAGCAUUUGAAAAAGGACAAGACGUUCACUUGCAAGCUGCUCCAUCUCAAGCAGAAUUGCUUUUUAAGAACUAUAAGGUCAUUAAGGAGAAGUUGAAGUCAAAAAUGAAAGAUGCCAUUAUGGAGAAGUAUGGGAAUGCUGCAACUACUUAAGAAAUUCCUAAAGAGCUUCUUUUCGGACAAACAGAGACAGAAGUUGCAUAUGAUGGUGCGGGAAGAGUUAUAAAGGGCAUGGAGACAUCCUUGCCAAAAAGCAAGUAUGAGGAGGAUGUUUACAUCAAUAACCACACAAGUGUCUGGGGGUCAUGGUGGAAGGAUUACCAAUGGGGCUACAAGUGUUGCAAGCAAACAAUUCGUAACAGUUAUUGCACUGGUGUUGCUGGAAUUGAGGCAGCUGAGUCAGCUGCCAAUCUAAUGAAGGCAAAUAUUGACCGCAAAGCAGCCUCUGAAGAGACCAUAGCUCCAACUGAAGAGAAAAGGCUUGCUACUUGGGGAGCUGAUAUACCUGAAGACUUGGUGCUUGACCAGAAAAAACUCGGUGAUGCUCUUAAGAAGGAGGAUGAGAGAAGGAAGGAAGAGAAGGAAGGAAGAGAGUGCAAAUAUAAUGUCACAUGGAAUGAUGAGGUUACUCCGGAGGAGAUGGAGGCAUAUCGGAUGAAAAAGGUACAUCAUGAUGACCCGAUGAAAGAUUUUGUGCACUAGGUCAGCUAUGUCAUCUGGAUAGUGUAAGCUUCAGACUCAUUUAGCAUCCUGUCUGAUUUCCAAUUCUUCUUAGCCAUUGUCAUAUUGUGAAAGGAAACGAAUUCACUUUUCAAAAAAGGAAAAUGAAUUCAAAUCUUUCUGAUUGAUAAUGGACUCAGAUCUUUCAUAAAUAGAAUGAUGCCAAAUGCUUCUUUUCUGCAUAAUACCCUGUUUAGGGGAAAUGGAGCCUAAGAAUAUAGUAACCUUAAAUAAACCAACACACAUAUAGGAAGGACAAUUAAAGAGACCAGAACAUAUAUCAUUGAUAAAGACCAUAUCAGACCAACAUGAGUAGACUCAGAUGCCACCAGGAUUGGUGAUCUCUACCAAAGCUGUCGUAUCUUGAGCUGAAGCUCCCAUUGCUGUUUAAAGACUGCAAUUCUGCCUCAUUUCUUUUCUUUGUUCAAGCGAACGAGUGAAAAUGCUUGUUCCAAAGCCUCUGCUGAUGUUUUAUAGAGGGUUAAAUAUAGUUUAGUAUUUUGAACUUUAGAGCUGUAGUUAGUUUGGUUCCUGAACUUCUUAAAAAAUAAACGUGUCAAACCCACUAACACUCUUUAACAUAUAAUCAGCAAUUGGAGAUAGAUGCAUGGCCUUGUGUAGUGUCCUGUCACACAUGAAAACGUCAACCAAAGGCAAUAUAAGACGAUCCGAGGGCAAUAAUAGACACUGCCCACCACACCAGUGGAUUAGGUUGUCAUAUCCCCCAAAGGAGUGUCACACUACUGACACUUGUUUGUAACUACCAAUCUUGCCAAUCUUAAUUCCGCAGAUCUAUUUAUAAACAAAAACCUUAACUGGAAAACAGAAGAAACAAUUAAUGUCAAAAACGUAGGUAGGUGGAUGGAACAUAAGCGAAGAACAAUGGAGAGUUGAGCAUGCAAAACAAUCUUGGAUAAAAAUUUGAACACCCCCUCCCCCCCCCCCCAACCAAACUAUCUCCCUGCAGUCCUCUUUAGCUAUGCUCCUUCUAGCCACCUAACAUUCAUUCACAACGAUGGAGCUGCGCUUCUUUCUUUUUGGUCAACUGCUUGCAUCUCGUAAUGUGUACACUACAAUAUUUAGUAUUUUCCAUGGGAAUGGAGCUUGGUUAUAUAUAUUGUGCAUAAAUAUACGUGAUUUUUAUGUGAAAAUUGUUUUUUACCAUUGGAUUCAAAUUUUGAAUAAGGUACUACAGGUUUAUAUUACAUUUAUCUAUAUAAAAUCACAUAUUUGAAUGAGACUUUGGUUACAUGGACUAAAUUAACUUGUAUUAUUCCUUCUAAGUAUACAGUGUAACUUCUAUGAGAUUUUGCAUUGAACAUAAAGUUAUGAUAUUUAAAAUGGAUGAGUAAUAAACUAAUGAAGCAGGGGAUGAAUAGACCUUGAG